AUUGAACGCUGGCGGCGGGCCUAAUACAUGCAAGUCGAACGAGUAGCGGACGGGUGAGUAAUGUCUGAGCACCUGCCUGAUGUACGCGUAUAACUACUGGAAACGGUAGCUACUACCGCUUAACAUCAUAUGUGCCCACAUGGGAUUAGCUAGUUGGUGGGGUAACGGCUCACCAAGGCGACGAUCCCUAGCUGGCCUGAGAGGGUGACCGGCCACACUGGAACUGAGACACGGCCCAGACUCCUACGGGAGGCAGCAGUAGGGAAUCUUGGACAAUGGGCGAAAGCCUGACCGAGCCAUGCCGCGUGAAUGAAGAAGGCCUUCGGGUUGUAAAGUACUUUUGGUGGGGAGGCGUUACCCGCAGAAGAAGCCCCGGCUAACUCCGUGCCAGCAGCCGCGGUAAUAC
rnacentral:rRNA from 1 species